rnacentral:SRP_RNA from 1 species
GCCAAGCAUGGUGGCACAUGCCUGUAAUCCCCAUUGCUGGGGAGGCUGAGCCUGGUAGAUUUUUUGGGCUCCAGAGUUCUGAGGCUAAAGCUGAUGAAGCUUCUACAUUAAGUCCAAUAUGAGUUCAGAGAGCCCACGGGAGGAUUGGGAGCACUAGACUCCCUAAGGAGGAGUGAACUGGCCCGGCACGGAAACAAAGCAGAUCAGAGCUUCCAUGCAGAUUGGCAGUGGGAUUGGGCUGAGUGGCCACUGCCCUUCCCUAGUCUCAAAAGGAAAAAAAGACUUUA